rnacentral:tRNA from 1 species
GCCACCAUAGCAUAAUGAUAGUGUCUCUGCCUUGUAAGCAGGUGGAUGUAGGUUUAAGUCCUACUGGUGGCUCCA